rnacentral:rRNA from 1 species
CGUACACGGUGGAUGCCUGGGCAGUCAGAGGCGAUGAAGGACGUACUAACUUGCGAUAAGCGCAGAUAAGGCAGUAAGAGCCGUUUGAGUCUGCGAUUUCCGAAUGGGGAAACCCAACUGCAUAAGCAGUUACUGUUAACUGAAUACAUAGGUUAACAGAGCAAACCGGGGGAACUGAAACAUCUAAGUACCCCGAGGAGAAGAAAUCAACCGAGAUUCCGGUAGUAGCGGCGAGCGAACCUGGAUUAGCCCUUAAGCACUCGGUGAAGUAGGUGAACAAGCUGGAAAGCUUGGCGAUACAGGGUGAUAGCCCCGUAACCGACGCUUCAUCGAGCGUGAAAUCGAGUAGGGCGGGACACGUGAUAUCCUGUCUGAAUAUGGGGGGACCAUCCUCCAAGGCUAAAUACUCCUGACUGACCGAUAGUGAACCAGUACCGUGAGGGAAAGGCGAAAAGAACCCCUGUGAGGGGAGUGAAAUAGAACCUGAAACCGUGUACGUACAAGCAGUAGGAGCACCUUCGUGGUGUGACUGCGUACCUUUUGUAUAAUGGGUCAGCGACUUAUAUUCAGUGGCAAGGUUAACCGUAUAGGGGAGCCGUAGCGAAAGCGAGUCUUAACUGGGCGCUCAGUCUCUGGAUAUAGACCCGAAACCGGGUGAUCUAGCCAUGGGCAGGUUGAAGGUUGAGUAACAUCAACUGGAGGACCGAACCGACUAAUGUUGAAAAAUUAGCGGAUGACUUGUGGCUAGGGGUGAAAGGCCAAUCAAACUCGGAGAUAGCUGGUUCUCCCCGAAAGCUAUUUAGGUAGCGCCUCGGACGAAUACUACUGGGGGUAGAGCACUGUUAAGGCUAGGGGGUCAUCCCGACUUACCAACCCUUUGCAAACUCCGAAUACCAGUAAGUACUAUCCGGGAGACACACGGCGGGUGCUAACGUCCGUCGUGGAGAGGGAAACAACCCAGACCGCCAGCUAAGGUCCCAAAGUAUUGCUAAGUGGGAAACGAUGUGGGAAGGCUCAGACAGCUAGGAUGUUGGCUUAGAAGCAGCCAUCAUUUAAAGAAAGCGUAAUAGCUCACUAGUCGAGUCGGCCUGCGCGGAAGAUGUAACGGGGCUAAGCA